rnacentral:rRNA from 1 species
GACGAAGGAUGCAAGCGUUAUCCGGAUUCAUUGGGCUUAAAGGGAGCGUAGGUGGCCUUAUAAGUCAGUGGUGAAAUCUCUGGGCUUAACCCAGAAAUUGCCAUUGAUACUGUAGGGCUUGAGUACAGUUGCUGUGGGCGGAAUAUGACAUGUAGUGGUGAAAUACAUAGAGAUGUCAUAGAACACCGAUUGCGAAGGCAGCUCACAAAACUGUAACUGACACUGAGGCUCGAAAGUGCGGGGAUCAAACAGG